GGAGGAGUGGCAGAGUGGUCGAUUGCGCCGGUCUUGAAAACCGGUAGGCCCGCAAGGGUCUCCAGGGUUCGAAUCCCUGCUCCUCCA
rnacentral:tRNA from 1 species